GCCAGCAGUGGCUAGAAAUAUUAGCAAUCUCAGGGUCAUAACAUACUCACCGGGGCAGCACAAGGGAGGAUUAUUUUCAUGUGAUGCAAGUGACGACAAGAAUGUUUGUGCAGAGGCAGAAAGGUACAGAGACAGAGAGAGGCAGAAAGGUUCAGAGACUCAGAGACACAGAGAGGCAGAAAGGUUCAUAGACUCAGAGAGGCAGAAAGGUACAGAGACACAGAGACACAGAGAGGCAGAAAGGUUGAAAAACACAGAGAGGCAGAAAGGUGCAGAGACACAGAGAGGCAGAAAGGUUGAAAAACACAGAGAGGCAGAAAGGUUGAAAGACACAGAGCUAAAGAGGCAGAAAGGUUGAAAAACACAGAGAGGCAGAAAGGUUGAGAGACACAGAGAGGCAGAAAGGUUCAGAGACAGAGAGACACAGAGAGGCAGAAAGGUUCAGAGACACAGAGAGGCAGAAAGGUUGAGAGACACAGAGGGUUAGAGAGGCAGAAAGGUUGAGAGACACAGAGAGGCAGAAAGAUUCAGAGACACAAAGAGGCAGAGAGGCAGAAAGGUUCAGACACAGAGAUGCAGAAAGGAUCAGAGACACAGAGCUACAGAGGCAGAAAGGUUGAGAGACUCAGAGAGGUUGAGAGACACAGAGCUAAAGAGGCAGAAAGGUUGAGAGACACAGAGAGGCAGAAAGGUGCAGACACAGAGGGCUACAGAGCAAUGAACAGACUUCCAGUUUCAACUCACCCUGGAAACUUUCCUGCGUGCUCUGGGCCGCUUCCCUCGUAUUACUCCCUGCCAGCAGGUGUCCCAGUGAGCGUCCCACCCUAAUGUGUGAAUGAUUGGAAACGGUAGGAGGUGAAGUGGGGGGAUAUGUGCUUUGAGAGAGGAAACCUGCUCUCAGGAUGUGAGGUGGAUUUAACUGCUAUGACAUCCUUUUACAAAUAAACGGUCG
ensembl:lncRNA